rnacentral:rRNA from 1 species
UAGGGAAUAUUGGGCAAUGGAGGCAACUCUGACCCAGCCAUGCCGCGUGAAGGAUGAAUGUCCUAUGGAUUGUAAACUUCUUUUAUAAGGGAAGAAAAAGCUCGAUUCAUCGGGCCCUGACGGUACCUUAUGAAUAAGCACCGGCUAACUCCGUGCCAGCAGCCGCGGUAAUACGGAGGGUGCAAGCGUUAUCCGGAUUCACUGGGUUUAAAGGGAGCGUAGGCGGAUCGGUAAGUCAGUGGUGAAAGCCCCGGGCUCAACUUGGGAAUUGCCAUUGAUACUGCCAGUCUUGAGUACGGUUGAAGUGGGCGGAAUGUUGCAUGUAGCGGUGAAAUGCUUAGAUAUGCAACAGAACACCGAUUGCGUAGGCAGCUCACUAAGCCGUAACUGACGCUGAGGCUCGAAAGCGUGGGGAUCAAACAGGAUUAGAUACCCCGGUAGUCC